GCCUGAGAGGGCGACCGGCCACACUGGGACUGAGACACGGCCCAGACUCCUACGGGGAGGCAGCAGUGGGGAAUAUUGCGCAAUGGGCGAAAGCCUGACGCAGCAACGCCGCGUGAGGGGAUGAAGGCCUUCGGUUGUAAACCUCUUUCAGCAGGGAAGAAGCGAAAGUGACGGUACCUGCAGAAGAAGCACCGGCUAACUACGUGCCAGCAGCCGCGGUAAUACGUAGGGUGCAAGCGUUGUCCGGAAUUAUUGGGCGUAAAGAGCUCGUAGGCGGUUGUCGCGUCUGCUGUGAAAACCUGGGGCUUAACUCCGGGCCUGCAGUGGGUACGGGCAGACUAGAGUGCGGUAGGGGAGACUGGAAUUCCUGGUGUAGCGGUGAAAUGCGCAGAUAUCAGGAGGAACACCGAUGGCGAAGGCAGGUCUCUGGGCCGUAACUGACGCUGAGGAGCGAAAGCGUGGGGAGCGAACAGGAUUAGAUACCCUGGUAGUCCACG
rnacentral:rRNA from 1 species